GAUGAACGCUGGCGGCGUGCCUAAUACAUGCAAGUCGAGCGAACAGACGAGGAGCUUGCUCCUCUGACGUUAGCGGCGGACGGGUGAGUAACACGUGGAUAACCUACCUAUAAGACUGGGAUAACUUCGGGAAACCGGAGCUAAUACCGGAUAAUAUAUUGAACCGCAUGGUUCAAUAGUGAAAGACGGUUUUGCUGUCACUUAUAGAUGGAUCCGCGCCGCAUUAGCUAGUUGGUAAGGUAACGGCUUACCAAGGCAACGAUGCGUAGCCGACCUGAGAGGGUGAUCGGCCACACUGGAACUGAGACACGGUCCAGACUCCUACGGGAGGCAGCAGUAGGGAAUAUUCCGCAAUGGGCGAAAGCCUGACGGAGCAACGCCGCGUGAGUGAUGAAGGUCUUCGGAUCGUAAAACUCUGUUAUUAGGGAAGAACAAAUGUGUAAGUAAAUAUGCACGUCUUGACGGUACCUAAUCAGAAAGCAACGGCUAACUACGUG
rnacentral:rRNA from 1 species